rnacentral:rRNA from 1 species
UACGGGGGGGGCAAGCGUUGUUCGGAAUUACUGGGCGUAAAGGGCUCGUAGGCGGCCAACUAAGUCCGACGUGAAAUCCCAAGGCUUAACCUUGGAACUGCGUCGGAUACUGGAUGGCUCGAAUUCGGGAGAGGGAUGCAGAAUUCCAGGUGUAGCGGUGAAAUGCGUAGAUAUCUGGAGGAAUACCGGUGGCGAAGGCGGCAUCCUGGACCGACACUGACGCUGAGGAGCGAAAGCCAGGGGAGCAAACGGG